GAUGAACGCUGGCGGCGUGCCUAAUACAUGCAAGUCGAGCGAACAGACGAGGAGCUUGCUCCUCUGACGUUAGCGGCGGACGGGUGAGUAACACGUGGAUAACCUACCUAUAAGACUGGGAUAACUUCGGGAAACCGGAGCUAAUACCGGAUAAUAUAUUGAACCGCAUGGUUCAAUAGUGAAAGACGGUUUUGCUGUCACUUAUAGAUGGAUCCGCGCCGCAUUAGCUAGUUGGUAAGGUAACGGCUUACCAAGGCAACGAUGCGUAGCCGACCUGAGAGGGUGAUCGGCCACACUGAAACUGAGACACGGUCCAAACUCCUACGGGAGGCAGCAGUAGGGAAUCUUCCGCAAUGGGCGAAAGCCUGACGGAGCAACGCCGCGUGAGUGAUGAAGGUCUUCGGAUCGUAAAACUCUGUUAUUAGGGAAGAACAAAUGUGUAAGUAACGAUGCACGUCUUGACGGUACCAAAUCAGAAAGCCACGGCUAACUACGU
rnacentral:rRNA from 1 species